rnacentral:rRNA from 1 species
UACGUAGGGGGCAAGCGUUGUCCGGAAUCAUUGGGCGUAAAGAGCGUGUAGGCGGCCCGAUAAGUCCGCCGUGAAAGUCCAGGGCUCAACCCUGGAAUGCCGGUGGAAACUGUCGGGCUGGAGUCCGGAAGAGGCGAGUGGAAUUCCUGGUGUAGCGGUGAAAUGCGCAGAUAUCAGGAGGAACACCGGUGGCGAAGGCGGGUUGCUGGGCUGAUACUGACGCUGAGGCGCGAAAGCUAGGGGAGCGAACGGG